GGUUGUAUAGUGUAGCGGUUAUCACUCCGGAUUCUGAGUCUCCCUAAUUUAGAAGAAGGAUUCCGGCAACCCCGGUUCGAUUCCGGGUACGACCU